rnacentral:rRNA from 1 species
CAGCUAUCAUUUACUUGAUCUUGACACUAUCCUACUUGGAUAACUGUGGUAAUUCUAGAGCUAAUACAUGCAUUAAAGCUCUGACCUCACGGGAAGAGUGCACUUAUUAGACCAAAACCAAGCGGCUUCGGCUGUUUCUGGUUGACUCAUAGUAAUUGAGCUGAUCGCACGGUCUUGCACCGGCGACGUGUCUUUCAAGUAUCUGCCGUAUCAACUUUCGAUGGUAGUGUAUCUGACUACCAUGGUGAUCACGCGUAACGGAGAAUAAGGGUUCGACUCCGGAGAGUUCGCCUGAGAAAUCGCGAACACAUCUAAGGAAGGCAGCAGGCGCGAAAAUUACCCACUCUCAGCACGAGGAGGUAGUGACGAAAAAUAACGAGACCGUUCUCUUAUGAGGCCGGUCAUCGGAAUGGGUACAAUUUAAACCCUUUAACGAGUAUCUAUGAGAGGGCAAGUCUGGUGCCAGCAGCCGCGGUAAUUCCAGCUCUCAAAGUGCAUAGAAUUAUUGCUGCGGUUAAAAAGCUCGUAGUUGGAUCUGUGCCAUAGGACGGGGUCUACCUUCGGGUACGCACUUCGCUCCUAGGCUUUUUGCUGGUUUUCCCGUCGUAGCCUUCACUGGUUGCGGUUCGGUCCUCUUUUAUUGGUUUUGUGGACUGAGAUAAUGGUUAACAGGGACAAACGGGGGCAUUCGUAUCGCUGCGUGAGAGGUGAAAUUCUUGGACCGUAAGCGAGACGCCCUACUGCGAAAGCAUUUGCCAAGAAUGUCUUCAUUAAUCAAGAACGAAAGUCAGAGGUUCGAAGG